AAUUGACUAUUCCAAAUAAUAGUUAUCAAUGGGUGUCCUAAAGACCUUGAUGACAUUUCUUCUCCUUGUCAUAUUAGGAGUUUCGUUAUCCAACCAGAUUGUUUUUACCUCAGGUGCAGAGAUUGAAAAAUUUUCGUAUGAUCAUUGCUCCACUUUAUGCGUGGAUGGGAAAUACGGAUCGCAUUAUUGCUUUGAGGACUGUAUUGAAAAGGGAUUUAAUACUGGUGACUGUGCUUCUCCACAUCGUGAAGGCCCAUUUCGGUGUUGUUGUAGUAAUUAGUUUUUUUAAUAAAAGCAUUAUCGGGAGUAGUAUUUUAUAAUUUGGGGACUUAAAAGAUGAUGUCAUUAUGUUGGUUUGUAAUCAGUGUGGCUGAAUAUCGUCAUAUAUAAAAUAU